CUUGCUCAGUAUGCUGCGUGCCUUGUCUGAGUUGUUUGGGUUUAUUUGGAUUGACUGAACCUUUUUGUUCCUGUCCUUGGGUACACAACUGGUGACAGAAUAAUGGGGGGCCCAGAGGAAUAAAGAAGGUGUCACAUCAGUACCAUUUUUUGAAGAAGACACCUUCCUCAUCCACUCAGGCAAAGUUAACAUCUCCCACUUUAUUCAAGGCCCACGGCAGGCCGAUACUCAGGAGUAGCGUCACUAGUUGUGUGACCCAGAGCAAGCUGCUGGAGUGG